UACGUAAGGUCCGAGCGUUGUCCGGAAUCAUUGGGCGUAAAGGGUACGUAGGCGGGUAAGCAAGUUAGAAGUGAAAUCCUAUAGCUCAACUAUAGUAAGCUUUUAAAACUGCUCAUCUUGAGGUAUGGAAGGGAAAGUGGAAUUCCUAGUGUAGCGGUGAAAUGCGCAGAUAUUAGGAGGAAUACCGGUGGCGAAGGCGACUUUCUGGCCAUAACCUGACGCUGAGGUACGAAAGCGUGGGUAGCAAACAGG
rnacentral:rRNA from 1 species